rnacentral:rRNA from 1 species
AAUAUUGCCCAAUGGGGGAAACCCUGAGGCAGCAACGCCGCGUGGAGGAAGAAGGUCUUUGGAUUGUAAACUCCUUUUCUGGGGGAAGAGCAAGGACGGUACCCCAGGAAUAAGUCACGGCUAACUACGUGCCAGCAGCCGCGGUAAUACGUAGGUGGCGAGCGUUGUCCGGAAUUAUUGGGCGUAAAGGGCGCGCAGGCGGCCGAUUAAGUCGGAUGUGAAAGGCCACGGCUCAACCGUGGAGUUGCAUCCGAAACUGGUUGGCUUGAGUGCAGGAGAGGAGAGCGGAAUUCCCGGUGUAGCGGUGAAAUGCGUAGAGAUCGGGAGGAACACCAGUGGCGAAGGCGGCUCUCUGGCCUGUUACUGACGCUGAGGCGCGAAAGCGUGGGUAGCGAACAGG